rfam:Hordeum vulgare subsp. vulgare, WGS project CAJW01000000 data, contig: morex_contig_97187
GAGCACAGGAUGUGAAACAUUUAGACCACUGAGACCUUUUUUGGUCUUUGAUGUAUCUAAAAUCGAGCUUUUUAAAACUGAUGCUAG